rnacentral:lncRNA from 1 species
CUGGGUGUGGGAGGCUGGAGACCUGAGACAGAGAACCAAAGACAGAAGUAUCAUCAGCCCGUUCAAGUCCAGAGCUCCAGGCCCUGCACCGCGGGGAAUCGCGAGGUACAGACCUGGAGUCGGAGGACAUAGGACUUCGUGGGAAGGUAAAACUCCCAGCAGCCGCGGAAAGUCAGCAAUCAGUAAUCGGCAGCGAAGCGGCGGGAACUGGAGCCAGGCCAGGGCUCACUGAUCACCCAGACCUUCGUACCUGUGGAGACCUGGAAGGUGGAGAGGGAGGAGACAGUAGCUAAAGGAUUAGGGUCACUAGCCAACUAUUCAUUCUUCUUCAAAGAGGAAAAUCAAAGAGAAACGGAAAGAAAUGGCUGAUUCUUCAGUCAACAUGUCCAAGCGUCUGUUGACAUUCCGAGAUGUGGCUGUGGACUUCUCCCAGGAGGAGUGGGAAUGCCUGGACUCUGCUCAGAGGACUUUGUAUAUUGAAGUGAUGGUCGAGAAUUAUACCAACCUGGUGUCUGUGGAGAAUUAUUCUAUACGUGGUACUGUCCAUCGACCUCUGAGGACUGAAAAGGUGUCUUGUCAGUCUAAUAAGCGUGGUGAAAUAUUUCAUGGUUCCUCCAACUGUGUACUUUAUAAAAGAAGUGACACUACAGAAACCUCUAAUAACUACAGAUGCUGUAAGGACAGGGAUGCCUCUGUUGACUCAUCAGAGCCAGGUCAACAUACAAGCACGCACACUGGAGAAGAACCUUGUGAACCUAAAGACUGUGAGAAAUCUUCUAGUUUGUGUUCCAACAUUGCUCAAGAUCAGCGAACAAACACU